CAAGCAUUUGAAGUACCAGGAAUUCAAUAAUGCAUAAUCCAAAAUUUACAGUAAAUAUCUAAAAACCUACAUUUUUCUUUUUCUUUUCCUCCUUGUUAAGGAUUAGUUGUAAAUAGAGUUCUAUUAGGAGUUAGAUUCCUAAUUAGUUUAUGAUUUGUAUUCCUAAAUAGCUAGGUAGCAUAGGAAUUCCUUAUAUAUAGACCUAUGUAAUCGAUUGACGACAUACAAGAAAUACAAUUACAAUAUAAUCUCUCAA